AAAUAAAUUAUAUAUUAAAUUUUUAAGUGAGUCUAUUGUGUAAU
rnacentral:guide_RNA from 1 species